rnacentral:lncRNA from 1 species
UACAAUCCAUGAUCUUAAUGACUCGAUCUAUCAUGAGAUCAAAAUGCCAGUCUUAGAAAAUAUGAUCCUCCAAUAAUAUGGUGAAGAACCCUCAUUUCCAUAGAUAAUUCUAGGGCUAGUAGUUCCAUAAUGCCACCCAUGUCUUCUCUUUUCAGAAUGACCUUCAGAACUUGUACCUUAUCGAAUAGAUGCCGUGGAGCUACACCUUCAUUUGGAAACCCCC